rnacentral:rRNA from 1 species
AUUGAACGCUGGCGGCAUGCCUUACACAUGCAAGUCGAACGGCAGCACGGGAGCAAUCCUGGUGGCGAGUGGCGAACGGGUGAGUAAUAUAUCGGAACGUGCCCAGUCGUGGGGGAUAACGCAGCGAAAGCUGUGCUAAUACCGCAUACGAUCUACGGAUGAAAGCGGGGGAUCGCAAGACCUCGCGCGAUUGGAGCGGCCGAUAUCAGAUUAGCUAGUUGGUGAGGUAAAGGCUCACCAAGGCGACGAUCGGUAGCUGGUCUGAGAGGACGACCAGCCACACUGGAACUGAGACACGGUCCAGACUCCUACGGGAGGCAGCAGUGGGGAAUUUUGGACAAUGGGCGCAAGCCUGAUUCAGCAAUGCCGCGUGCAGGAUGAAGGCCUUCGGGUUGUAAACUGCUUUUGUACGGAACGAAACGGUGAGCUCUAAUACAGUUUGCUAAUGACGGUACCGUAAGAAUAAGCACCGGCUAACUACGUGCCAGCAGCCGCAGUAACAC